rnacentral:rRNA from 1 species
AGUGAACGCUGGCGGUAGGCCUAACACAUGCAAGUCGAACGGCAGCACAGUAAGGGCUUGCUCUUACGGGUGGCGAGUGGCGGACGGGUGAGGAAUACAUCGGAAUCUACUUUUUCGUGGGGGAUAACGUAGGGAAACUUACGCUAAUACCGCAUACGACCUACGGGUGAAAGCAGGGGAUCUUCGGACCUUGCGCGAUUGAAUGAGUCGAUGUCGGAUUAGCUAGUUGGCGGGGUAAAGGCCCACCAAGGCGACGAUCCGUAGCUGGUCUGAGAGGAUGAUCAGCCACACUGGAACUGAGACACGGUCCAGACUCCUACGGGAGGCAGCAGUGGGGAAUAUUGGACAAUGGGCGCAAGCCUGAUCCAGCCAUACCGCGUGGGUGAAGAAGGCCUUCGGGUUGUAAAGCCCUUUUGUUGGGAAAGAAAAGCAGCAGGUUAAUACCCCGCUGUUCUGACGGUACCCAAAGAAUAAGCACCGGCUAACUUCGUG